rnacentral:rRNA from 1 species
CAGCAGCCACGGGAAUACGUAGGUGGCAAGCGUUGUCCGGAAUUAUUGGGCGUAAAGGGCUCGCAGGCGGUUUCUUAAGUCUGAUGUGAAGGCCCCCGGCUCAACCGGGGAGGGUCAUUGGAAACUGGGAAACUUGAGUGCAGAAGAGGAGAGUGGAAUUCCACGUGUAGCGGUGAAAUGCGUAGAGAUUUGGAGGAACACCAGUGGCGAAGGCGACUCUCUGGUCUGUAACUGACGCUGAGGAGCGAAAGCGUGGGGAGCGAACAGGAUUAGAUACCCGCGUAGUCCCUGUCUCUUAUAA